rnacentral:RNase_P_RNA from 1 species
CAAGUUAUCCGCUCUAUCGCUUCUUGAAAUACAGGAGAGGAAAGUCCGGGCAGCAAAGGGUGCCAUGCUUCCUAACAGGAAGAUGCUCGUGAGGGCAUAGUAGUGUAACAGAAAAUAACCGCUCUGCCGCUGGCAGGGUAAGGGUGAAAAGGUGGGGUAAGAGCCCACCGGGUUUCGUAGCAAUACGGAAUGCCGUACACCUCAUGGGCUGCAAGACCAUGUAUAUUCCGAUCUCGUAAGAGACAGGGUUACCCGCCUUGCUCCACUCAUAGGUGGUAUCGGAAGGGGUAGGUCGCUUUAGGCUGUAGGCAACUACAGUCACAGAUGAAUGGUAGAGGCGAUUAACAUCGUACAGAACCCGGCUUACAGGAUAACUUGCUAU